rnacentral:rRNA from 1 species
CCUACGGGAGGCAGCAGUCGAGAAUCAUUCACAAUGGGGGAAACCCUGAUGGUGCGACGCCGCGUGGGGGAAUGAAGGUCUUCGGAUUGUAAACCCCUGUCAUGCGGGAGCAAUAAUGGUCACGUGUGGCCAGACGAGAGUACCGUACGAAUAAGCAUCGGCUAACUCCGUGCCAGCAGCCGCGGUAAUACGGGGGAUGCAAGCGUUAUCCGGAUUUAUUGGGUUUAAAGGGUGCGUAGGCUGUGAGGUAAGUCAGCGGUGAAAUGCCCCCGCUCAACGGGGUGAAGUGCCAUUGAUACUGCCUUGCUGGAAUGCGGAUGCCGUGGGAGGAAUGUGUGGUGUAGCGGUGAAAUGCAUAGAUAUCACACAGAACACCGAUUGCGAAGGCAUCUCACGAAUCCGCGAUUGACGCUGAUGCACGAAAGCGUGGGUAUCAAACAGGAUUAGAUACCCGUGUAGUC